rnacentral:rRNA from 1 species
UGGGGAAUUUUGCACAAUGGGGGAAACCCUGAUGCAGCGACGCCGCGUGAUUUAGAAGGCCUUCGGGUUGUAAAAAUCUUUUCUAUGGGAAGAAAAUGACAGUACCAUAGGAAUAAGGACCGGCUAAUUACGUGCCAGCAGCCGCGGUAAUACGUAAGGUCCGAGCGUUGUCCGGAAUCAUUGGGCGUAAAGGGUACGUAGGCGGGUAAGCAAGUUAGAAGUGAAAUCCUAUAGCUCAACUAUAGUAAGCUUUUAAAACUGCUCAUCUUGAGGUAUGGAAGGGAAAGUGGAAUUCCUAGUGUAGCGGUGAAAUGCGCAGAUAUUAGGAGGAAUACCGGUGGCGAAGGCGACUUUCUGGCCAUAACCUGACGCUGAGAUACGAAAGCGUGGGUAGCAAACAG